rnacentral:rRNA from 1 species
UUGAACGCUGGCGGCAGGCCUAACACAUGCAAGUCGAGCGGUAGCACAGAGAGCUUGCUCUCGGGUGACGAGCGGCGGACGGGUGAGUAAUGUCUGGGAAACUGCCUGAUGGAGGGGGAUAACUACUGGAAACGGUAGCUAAUACCGCAUAACGUCGCAAGACCAAAGUGGGGGACCUUCGGGCCUCAUGCCAUCAGAUGUGCCCAGAUGGGAUUAGCUAGUAGGUGGGGUAAUGGCUCACCUAGGCGACGAUCCCUAGCUGGUCUGAGAGGAUGACCAGCCACACUGGAACUGAGACACGGUCCAGACUCCUACGGGAGGCAGCAGUGGGGAAUAUUGCACAAUGGGCGCAAGCCUGAUGCAGCCAUGCCGCGUGUGUGAAGAAGGCCUUCGGGUUGUAAAGCACUUUCAGCGGGGAGGAAGGCGUUAAGGUUAAUAACCUUGGCGAUUGACGUUACCCGCAGAAGAAGCACCGGCUAACUCCGUGCCAGCAGCCGCGGUAAUACGGAGGGUGCAAGCGUUAAUCGGAAUUACUGGGCGUAAAGCGCACGCAGGCGGUCUGUCAAGUCGGAUGUGAAAUCCCCGGGCUCAACCUGGGAACUGCAUUCGAAACUGGCAGGCUAGAGUCUUGUAGAGGGGGGUAGAAUUCCAGGUGUAGCGGUGAAAUGCGUAGAGAUCUGGAGGAAUACCGGUGGCGAAGGCGGCCCCCUGGACAAAGACUGACGCUCAGGUGCGAAAGCGUGGGGAGCAAACAGGAUUAGAUACCCUGGUAGUCCACGCCGUAAACGAUGUCGAUUUGGAGGUUGUGCCCUUGAGGCGUGGCUUCCGGAGCUAACGCGUUAAAUCGACCGCCUGGGGAGUACGGCCGCAAGGUUAAAACUCAAAUGAAUUGACGGGGGCCCGCACAAGCGGUGGAGCAUGUGGUUUAAUUCGAUGCAACGCGAAGAACCUUACCUGGUCUUGACAUCCACAGAACUUUCCAGAGAUGGAUUGGUGCCUUCGGGAACUGUGAGACAGGUGCUGCAUGGCUGUCGUCAGCUCGUGUUGUGAAAUGUUGGGUUAAGUCCCGCAACGAGCGCAACCCUUAUCCUUUGUUGCCAGCGGUUCGGCCGGGAACUCAAAGGAGACUGCCAGUGAUAAACUGGAGGAAGGUGGGGAUGACGUCAAGUCAUCAUGGCCCUUACGACCAGGGCUACACACGUGCUACAAUGGCAUAUACAAAGAGAAGCGACCUCGCGAGAGCAAGCGGACCUCAUAAAGUAUGUCGUAGUCCGGAUUGGAGUCUGCAACUCGACUCCAUGAAGUCGGAAUCGCUAGUAAUCGUAGAUCAGAAUGCUACGGUGAAUACGUUCCCGGGCCUUGUACACACCGCCCGUCACACCAUGGGAGUGGGUUGCAAAAGAAGUAGGUAGCUUAACCUUCGGGAGGGCGCUUACCACUUUGUGAUUCAUGACUGGGGUG